rnacentral:rRNA from 1 species
GAAUAUUACUUUGCAUUCAUAAUAUAAAUUUGAGUUUUUUGGCUCUGGGGAUAAUAUGAUCGCACGAUUCACAAUUAUAGAAAUUGACGGAGGAAUACCCCUAGGAGUGGAUUGUGCGGCUUAAUUUGACCCCACGCCAGGUAACUUACCAAUAUUUUAUUAUUUUGAGAGAACGGUUUUUUGUUUGAG